CCCAUUUCCCUCCCACAGACUGGAAAAAGAAAGGCGAGCUGCUCGCCGUCGUAGAUGAUUUCUCAUCCACUGGCUCAUCCGGUUCUUCAUCUCUUUCCUACAGCGUUGCAAGCUUCUCCUCCUGGCCGGACUCUCUUCAGUGCCGAUCGGGAGGGUGGGUGGGGCAGUGGUAACACGGGGGAGAGCACGGUAGCUGACGCUCAAGCACGAUAGAACACCACGUUUGGCCACCCAGCACGUGCGCUGAUCGAAGAGAAAGCGACAGCGCUGCGUCACGUAUCGCACACUGCCGUGCCUGAUUGUUGCCACAGACCGCCGCUAUUCUUUUUGCAGUUUUUCUUUGAAAGCCUCUGGCGUUUCUCCUCCUGUCCAAGGGCAAAGGAGGACAGUCAGCGGCGCACCCCCUUUGAGGCGGUGACCGUGCGUGCGUGCCUCUCCCUGUGUGCAAAGAAUGCUCAAUGGAGUCAACGAUAUCUUGAUGCCAUGGACUGCCCCACGUAUCCUCCAGAUCAUGGAGGCCACCUCCGCGUCUCGCAACGCGAGUGGCUGCGCUCCUCGCGGUGGAAUAGCCGCUGAUGAUACGGCGGAUAUGGAAAGCCUUCUGCGGCUCGCAAACCAGCUGCCAGACGUUGCGGGCCGCGUGAUGGCAGCACCACUGUUUGCGCAACGACCGCUCGUCGAGUCGCAUAAUGGUGGCUCAACGUCUCUCAACACGGUGGCACCUGGCGCGUCAUCCGAUGGGGCAUCAUCGGUGUCCAUAACAUAUGAGGAUGCACAGUAUAUGUGUACCGCCGCCUUGGCGGUGCGCCGGAGCCCGUGGAAGGCGGAGGCACCGAACGACGAUGAGCCAUCGACGACUGAUGCGAAGGCUUAUUGCUCGCUUCCCCACACCGAGCCUCAAACAGCGGCAGCGGAGUUGGAGGAGGUGGGGUUUGCGGCAGAGUUCUCAGAGCCCUGCAUUCGCGGCUCCUUUCCGGACGCUGCUGCAGCGCUACGUCACGUUCUUCCCGAGAUUGACGGUGGGCUCACAUCGGACAGUGAUGGGGUGCAUGCUCAGAGUGCGAGCAAGCAUGGCGCCGCUGACUUAUUUCAAGGUGCUCUACACUUUGUUUUGCGACCGCCUUCUGUGUCGCACGCAGCCCCUCUGGCGGAGAGCGCCUCCUCAACGAGUGCGAUCCAGAGUGUGGCUUCAGCUACCUCACACCGCCUGCAUCUUGUCCAACCGUCGCCCUCAGCGGCAUCGGCAGCGCCUCAUUCGCUCGUGCUGGAUACUAUUCCAUCUCCCUCGUUGCUGCCGAUUGAGGCUCGCGGUCCGCCAGGUCACCGUGUGUUCGACGGGGGCUGCGUUGCGUACACCUUCUCCGCGGGCGAGAGGGAGGAGUUGCUGGCCUCCUUGUGCGCCGAACCACCUCCGCUUCAAGUAUUCAGCAGGGAGGAAGUGGAGGGGCGCUGUCAGCCGGGAAGUCCGAUCUAUCGCCAGACCUCAGCACCACAGUCUUCCGGGUCAGGGGCAGCCGCCGCAGCCACCGCGCAUUUUCCUCGCGGCGGGCUCCCACCGUCCGCCGACCGAGGGCUACCUGGCAGUUGCGUCAACGAUGACGAUGGCUGGAGCUCCUCCUCUGGGUGGAGCAGUCGUAGCAGCAGCGAGCCGUGCAGCGACAUGCACAGUGACAAGGCAAAAGAGGAGGCGUCGCAAGAUAUUGAGAGGGCCGAUGAAGCCAACGCCGAGGAAAGACCAGGGAGUCGCGCGGUUGCCUGUGUCGUGGAUGGGCCCACCUCUGAGGUCGCAUUGGCUACUCAUCCGCCCGGUACUGCCGGAACCACUUGCACCUGGGUCGACGAUGCUGACGAUCUGGUGCUCGAGAAUGGCCACAUCGCCAUACGGAGGAAGAGGAUGCGGCCUGCUAGGAAUCUGCCAGCUGCUCUUUCCUUACCGACAGUCGCGAGUAGUCCUCUCCUGAAUCCGUCACUGACGACGACUGUAGUGAAUGCGACACCCGCUGACGAGCAGCACUUCACUUCCUCUGCAACCGAUGGCGCUGAUUACGCGGACGCGGCGGGUGACGGCUCUACAGCAGACGCCGUACCGCAUGGAAGAAAGGGAGUCGCCGGCGCCAAGCGCAGUCGCGCCUCGAUGACGGCCUCUGCUCCAGCAGACGGCUGCGCUACCGCCACGUCGGCAGAGCCACCCGAAAGGGCAACAACAGCCGAGGUGGCGAAAGAGCUGAAGCGCCGUGCCGCUCCGGCCGAAACGUCGGAUGAGGUAGCGAGGACAUCGACGCCCGUCAAGACGAAGCGCGUGGUGCGCUUGUCACAGGAAGAGAUGCUGGAGUUUAUUGAGGGAUUGCGCGUGUCCGACACGCUUCGACGCGCAUUGCUCAUUGGCGCGGCUACACCAGCAGUAAUCGAAGCGGCGCCGGUGAAUAGCCCGGGUGCGGUGGGUGAUGGGAAGAGUGAGCCGGAUGGGAGCGAUGAGGCGCUUUAGGUCUUCAUCUCUCGGGCGCAUACGCAGGGGUGUGCAUGCUCGUGCGAGUGCGUUCUGCCUGCUUUCUUCCGCCUUCCUGCCUUACCGCGCCCCCCGCCUUUUUCUUCCUUUGCCCUUUAGUAGUGGCUCCGCUCUUGUUUUGAUGGAGCUAGUCGCCACACUCCCCCUCGAGAUCUUCGCUUCUGCCUCUCGUUGCUCCCUUGCUGACUUCGCGGCCUUCGUGGCCGACGCUGGGGGCUGCUGCGGCCGAUGCGGUUGCACCGCCUUGCGGUGUGUGGUAACGCCCGGUAGCGUGCCACCGUCUGCUGCAUUAGCGUGUAUUACGUGCUCCACUUGCGCUGUGCAUCCGGCGGAUGCGUUUUUGCAU
rnacentral:misc_RNA from 1 species